rnacentral:rRNA from 1 species
GACGAACGCUGGCGGCGUGCUUAACACAUGCAAGUCGAACGGAGUGGCGACCGGGUGAGUAACACGUGGGUGACCUGCCCUGCACUUCGGGAUAAUCCUGGGGAACUGGGUCUAAUACCGGAGAGUGUGGGAUGGGUCCUCGGCCUAUCAGCUUGUUGGUGGGGUAAUGGCCUACCAAGGCGGCGACGGGUAGCCGGCCUGAGAGGGUGGACGGCCACAGGGGUACUGAGGCACGUCGCAGAAUUCUACGGGGGGCAGCAGUGGUGCAUUUUGCAUAGUGGGCUGAAGCCUGAUGCAGCGACGCGGCGGGGGGGAUGACUGGCUUCGGGUGGUAAAAUCCUUUCACCCUCGACGCGGUAGGUGGAGAAGAAGCACCGGCUCACUACGUGCCAGCAGCCGCGGUAAUAC